ensembl:lncRNA
AUGAAACCUCCAACUUCGGAGCGCGCAACUCGUGCCGCUGCUCCGGGAGAGAAGCGGCGGUGCGGGGCGGUGCGGGGCCCGGGGGGUGGGGAGGAGGAGGAGGAAAGGGGAUUUAAAAAAAAGAAAAAAGAAAAAAAAAAAAAAAGCAGUAAUCUCACUCGGUUUGAUUCAGCCAAAGCGAUUAAAAUCACGGCAUGCGAAGCGGCAGAAGGAAGGCUCGCUACAAUCGAUGCGCUCCACCGCCCUCUCCGCGCGGGGCCCGCCGAUAAGUCAUCAAUAGUUCCGCGGGGGGUGCGCCCCGCACAGCGCCGAGCCCUCCCGCUGCCCGACCGCGGCUUGGGGCUGUUUUUUCUUUUUUUUUUUUUUUUAGGGAGGGGGGGAUGGCGGGCGGGAGAGGCGCAGAUACGCCGCUCGAACGCCGCCUGCAGCGCGCACCGGCGAGUAAGGGCUGCGCGGCGCUGCGCGGGGCGGAACAGCCGCUACUUACCGGGCGUCCCCGGCUCCGCGGCGCUGAGGCUGCGCGGAGGGAUGAGAGGGGCAGAGGGAUGCGCGCACCGCACCCGCGCAGCGCCGAGUUGCGCUGGGUUGAGGAGGCGCGGGUGUUUAUUCAAACACUUCGUCUCCGGGAGAAAAGAAAAAAAAAAAAAAAAAGAAGGGGGGGAUGGGCGCAACGGGCCCGAGGGACGCGGAGUGGGGGAGGAUGCGCGGCGCGGAGCUGAGCGCCCGCGGAAGGCAAAGCGCGGGCGGAAAGCCGCAACAGUUUCAGAUCCCGACGGAGAGCCGGCACCGAGCGGCCGCGGGAGCAACGCGGCGGGUUGCGGGAAGCGAGGGGAGCCGGAGCGGGGCCGGCGGAUGCUGCAGUGAGCGGGCGGCCCCGAGUUACCGACUUUGUUCGCUACAAAUUCUUUCCUCGCGGCUGCGGGAACCCGUUCGGAACCUAUUUUCUUCCCCCUCUUUCGGAUUUAGUAUUUGUUGUUGGUUGUUUUUUGGGUUUUUUGUUUGUUUGUUUUUUUUGCGUUCUGCCUUCCAGCGGGGCUGAAACAAAGCUCCCGGGGGGGGUGGGGACAGCUCUCCGUGCGCGGUACCGCGGCAGCAGCUCCGUAUGGCGGCUACGCGGGGCGCGGAGCUCCGCAGGUCCCCCCCCGGGCGCGGAGCCGUUCGCCCCCCGCCGCGCUCCGCUCUCGGGGCCGAGCCCGCGGCGCCACCUCCCGGCGGCAGCGCCCCAUGGAGCGGGGAGCGCCGCGCAGCGCACCUGGGUGCGGGACGGGCCGUGUGCCGGUUCGUCCUUCGUGCCGUUGGGGAAAAUCGCUGUAAAUGAAGAGUCGCGGAGGUGAUGUUUGGGUCGCGCGUCGCGGGCCAGCAGGCGCCCAGGAGCUGCGCAACAGAAAGGAAGCCCCAGCUUUAACCCCACGUAGCACGCAUUGUUCUGAGCUGCUGAAAAGAAGAUAACUGCAUUAAAAGAACUUUUCUAAAGCACCCCUCCCUCCCCCCCACCCCGUACUGUUCUGAGAGAGAUUUGGUGUACAUUUCAUCCUGGAAUAAACACUGUUUAUCAGAAACUCUCUCUGUUGUU